UCUGGUCUAUGAUGACUCUAAAGUGAGCAGACUGUUGGAUGAAGCUUGCGGAUAUGGGACUGAGAUCAGAC
ensembl:snoRNA